UAAUUGUAAAACUAAAUUGUGCGAGAAUAUAAAUUCUGGAGUAGUCAUGGAGUCAGAAAGCGAAUCUCUUGAAUCGAAUAUAAUAUCUGAGAAAUACUGGCAAACAUAUCUUUGUAGUCGAUCUGCUGAGUCAUGAAAAAUAUUUCUCGCUAGUUGAAAAGCUGGACCGUGAUUAGUAGAAUCGGAAGAGCCAAUUGUUUGCCUUACGCCCUUUCCUGAUAUUAGUUGAGCAAAUAGUAUGUUCAAGGCAGCAGCAGGAAUGGUGUUAAUCUCAUUGAUCAACUGGUUAAUAAUAUCAAGCAUGUAAAACUCGACAUUCUUGGUAGUACCCUUUCUCGCUAAAUCAAAGAAGAGACGAAAGAUAUUUACUAAGAAUUCUUCAGCAUUCGGGAGAUCAACUAUUAGAACUGCAGAUUUAACGUUCGACAAACUCUCUAAUAUCUCGUAAAUUUGUGGAUAAUAAGUAGAUUCUUGAUUCAUAAGACCACUAAGAAUUUUGAGAAUUACUUGGAAAAUAUCUUCCAAUUGUGAUAAAGUGAAGGGCGCAUCGGGGGCACAUAAACGAAGCAAUUCAACAAUACAACAAAGUGUAUAAGAGCGUAUCCCUUUAUCUUUGUGAUGGAGCAAAUUGUUAUUUACUAAUGAUCGUGCUACUGGCAAUACUGAGUCACGGUCGAUAGUAUCUUGGGAUAGGCUAGUAAGCUCUCCUAGUAAAUCACGUAGUCGUUUUAAAAUCUCGGAAGUCGUUAACGGAUUGUCAUGUGUUGGGACAAUGUUUCUUUGAAACUGUAACUUUAUCAUCGCAAAAGUUGGCUUUUGCACGCUUUUGUACUA